AUGGUGCUCAACGACAAGGUCAAGACCAGGGUGGAUCCCUCUGAGCAAGAAUGCCGAAGCCUAUGGGUCUGGGGUCCUUUCCAGGAUGUUCAUAGUGCACCCCACCAUCAUGCUCUUCUACUCCCACUAUGACUUAAACCCCAGCUCCAGCACGGCAGGAGGGUGAUCGACACGUUCACCAAAGUCAACAACCUAGACAGUAUAGCAGGUGCCCUUUCCAAGCUCAGCAACCUUGGGAUGGAUCUCCUCUUCUUUAAGCUGCUGGGCAACAACUUAGCAACAACCAUGGCCGUGGCGCAACAGUGUCAAAGCCGUCAAAGCUGAAGUGUAUUUUUCCCUUUAGAAGUUCAUAAACGAUGCUGUUCUUAGGGCAAUGGGACAAAGAUGAGCAGAAAACUCUGAGUGCUAGCAAUAUCUGGACAUUCCUGAAGAUGAUCUUAAAAAUCUGUUAGAAUUGUAUCUCAUCUUCCUCCAGGAGCUCAAGGUUGUUUACAUGGGGAUCCUCCUUCAUUUUAUCCCACCACAGCAGUGCUGUGAGAUAGCCCGGGCUGAAAGAGAGUGACUGGCCUAAAGUCACACAGAGUUUCUGUGGCUAUGUGGGGACUUGAACCUGGACUUCCCUCAUCCCCCUCCAGCUAUUUAACCACUGUGCCAUUUUUAUGAGCUGAUGUUUCACAUGAGAAAUUGGAGGAAAGUACUGUAAUACAGUGGGGAUGAAAAACUUACAGACUUGUGUAUUUUCAGCUGGCCAGUAGGAGAGGUACUUUCCAAGACUUUAUAACUGAUAACACCAAUCAGCCUGGUGUUAAUGAGAAUUGUCAGAAAUUUUAUUGAGGAUUUGGGGGGGGGGGGCACAGGAGAACAUCAGGAGGAAAUGGCAGAUGUGGCUUUUGAAGGGGAAAUCUUGGCUGACCUUUUUCUCAAAAUGGGUUGUAGAGGAACUGGAUAAAGUAUGACAGCCACACUUCCAUGUAAAAAGACUUUAGGAGGAGCAAGAAAAUACCUGUAUUCCCAACAAAUCAGGUUCUGUAACCCUGCAUCAAAUUGAUUGUUCUCAAAAUCUUUCCAUCCAAACUGAUAAUUAGAGAGAUAAGUAGAUAAUUAUCUGUGCUGAUAAUUAGAGGGCCAUUACCAGCACAGAUAGUAAUACACAUGGAUUUGGUUGCAAAGCCUCCAGAAAAAGGAAGGCAGUUUUCAAUGAAUGUUUAGAUGGAAAGGGAACUUUGUGUUCUAAGAAAUGGAAGACAGCUUCUUCAUAUAAGAACCAAUUAAAGAAUUAAACAAUUUCUAGAAAUUGUUUAUUGAAACAAUUAAAAACAGCUUAUUGAUAUAGGAACCUUUGACAC